GUGUUUGCUUCAGCAUAUAUAUUAAAAUUGGAAUGAUAUGGAGAAGAUUAGUAUGGCCCCUGAGCAAGGAUGACACACAAUUCGUAAAGAGUUCCAAAUUUUUU